rnacentral:rRNA from 1 species
AGCGACCUUUGGAUGAGAGUCAACUUGAUGAGUUUACUCGAUAGAAGGAGAGGUGUGCAUGGCCGUCGUCAGCUCGUACCGUAGGGCGUUCACUUAAGUGUGAUAACGAGCGAGACCCCCAUCUCUAAUUGCCAGUAUGUCUUUGCGGACAUGCGCACUUUAGAGGGACCGCCAGCGCUAAGCUGGAGGAAGGAGGGUCGACGGCAGGUCAGUACGCCCCGAAUCUCCCGGGCUACACGCGCGCUACAAAGGACAGGACAAUGAGUUGCAACCUCGAAAGGGGAGCUAACCUCGAAACCUGUUCAUAGUUAGGAUUGAGGGCUGUAACUCGCCCUCAUGAAUGUGGAUUCCGUAGUAAUCGCGGGUCAACAGCCCGCGGUGAAUAUGCCCCUGCUCCUUGCACACACCGCCCGUCAAACCAUCC